GGCCUGUUGGUGUAAUUGGUAGCAUACGUGAAACGCGUUAAAUAUGGAAUCAAACCACUUUCGGGGAUCACGCUCGCUUGCAUAAACACACACGUUCGAUUCACGAAUCAAACCACUUUCGGGGAUCACGCUCGCUUGCAUAAACACACACGUUCGAUUCACGAUGGUCACACAUUAUUGAAUCUGCGGGCGAGUAAAACUGAGAAGUGGUUCUAAAGUUCGAAUCGAUUGGGCCUCUGUGACAUGGUACCGGUUCGAAUCCGGUGCAGGCUG